AGAAUCAACGCUGGCGGCGUGCCUAACACAUGCAAGUCGAACGAGAAAGUGGAGCAAUCCAUGAGUAAAGUGGCGACCGGGUGAGUAACACGUGACUAACCUACCCUAGAGUGGGGGAUAACCUCGGGAAACCGGGGCUAAUACCGCAUAACAUCGCAAGGGGAAGAUCCUUGCGAUCAAAGAAGCAAUUCGCUCAAGGAGGGGGUCGCGGCUGAUUAGCUAGUUGGUGAGGUAACGGCCCACCAAGGCUUAGAUCAGUAGCCGGCCUGAGAGGGCGCACGGCCACACUGGAACUGAAACACGGCCCAGACUCCUACGGGAGGCAGCAGUGGGGAAUUUUGCGCAAUGGGGGAAACCCUGACGCAGCAACGCCGCGUGGAGGAUGAAGUCCUUCGGGACGUAAACUCCUUUCGAUCGGGACGAUUAUGACGGUACCGGAAGAAGAAGCCCCGGCUAACUUCGUGCCAGCAGCCGC
rnacentral:rRNA from 1 species